rnacentral:rRNA from 1 species
GAUGAACGCUGGCGGCGUGCUUAACACAUGCAAGUCGAACGAGAAAUGAUAUUACGAUCUCUUCGGAGUGACGAUUUUAUUUCGAGUGGCGGACGGGUGAGUAACGCGUGAGCAACCUGCCCUGUACCGGGGGAUACCAGUUGGAAACGACUGUUAAUACCGCAUAAGCGCACGAUAAGACAUCUUGUUGUGUGAAAAACUCCGGUGGUAUAGGAUGGGCUCGCGUAUGAUUAGCCAGUUGGCGGGGUAAAGGCCCACCAAAGCGACGAUCAUUAGCCGACCUGAGAGGGCGACCGGCCACAUUGGGACUGAGACACGGCCCAAACUCCUACGGGAGGCAGCAGUGGGGAAUAUUGCACAAUGGGCGAAAGCCUGAUGCAGCGACGCCGCGUGAGUGAGGAAGUAUUUCGGUAUGUAAAGCUCUAUCAGCAGGGAAGAAAGAAAUGACGGUACCUGAGUAAGAAGCUCCGGCUAAAUACGUGCCAGCAGCCGCGGUAAUACGUAUGGAGCAAGCGUUAUCCGGAUUUACUGGGUGUAAAGGGAGCGUAGGCGGCAGAGCAAGUCUGAUGUGAAAGCCCGGGGCUCAACCCCGGUAGUGCAUUGGAAACUGUUCAGCUCGAGUGUCGGAGGGGUAAGCGGAAUUCCUGGUGUAGCGGUGAAAUGCGUAGAUAUCAGGAAGAACACCGGAGGCGAAGGCGGCUUACUGGACGAUUACUGACGCUGAGGCUCGAAAGCGUGGGGAGCGAACAGG